GAUGAACGCUGGCGGCGUGCCUAAUACAUGCCAGUCGAGCGAACAGACGAGGAGCUUGCUCCUCUGACGUUAGCGGCGGACGGGUGAGUAACACGUGGAUAACCUACCUAUAAGACUGGGAUCACUUCGUGAAACCGGAGCUAAUACCGGAUAAUAUAUUGAACCGCAUGGUUCAAUAGUGAAAUACGGUUUUGCUGUUACUAAUAGAUGGUUCCGCGCCGCAUUAGCUAGUUGGUAAGGUAACGGCUUACCAAGGCAACGAUGCGUAGCCGACCUGAGAGGGUGAUCGGCCACACUGGAACUGAGACACGGUCCAGACUCCUACGGGAGGCAGCAGUAGGGAAUCUUCCGCAAUGGGCGAAAGCCUGACGGAGCAACGCCGCGUGAGUGAUGAAGGUCUUCGGAUCGUAAAACUCUGUUAUUAGGGAAGAACAAAUGUGUAAGUAACUAUGCACGUCUUGACGGUACCUAAUCAGAAAGCCACGGCUAACUACGUG
rnacentral:rRNA from 1 species